rnacentral:misc_RNA from 1 species
GCAAACUUGGUCAUUUAGAGGAAGUAAAAGUCGUAACAAGGUUUCCGUAGGUGAACCUGCGGAAGGAUCAUUACCGAGCUCUUGCCUCUCCCGAGGUAGACCUCCCACCCCUUGUGUAUAUAUACUAUCGUUGCUUUAGCAAGCCGCCCUCCGGGGUCCACGUGUGCUUGCUAGAGGCCCUCUCUAAUCUCACCUAUACCUGAUCUCAAAGUAUCGCCGUCUAUCGGCACAAACAAAUAAAAACUUUCAACAACGGAUCUCUUGGUUCUGGCAUCGAUGAAGAACGCAGC